GUUCAGUCAAGCCACAGUUCCAGAGCUCGAUGGCCACACGUGGCUCCUGUGUCUACGAGACAGGCAGAGGGCCAGGCUAGUGCUGCACCAUGCAUUCAGGAAGGGAGCAGGAACCUCCUCUCUUCAUUCUCUACCCUUCUCUCUGGAAUCUCAUGGGAAUCUCCUCUCGGUGACUGUUCUUAUUGCCACGUGAACAACGGACCAAGGAGGACGGAGGGGAGAAAAGAGAUUCCUGCCCCAGCUGGAAACAGAUGGCUCACUUAAACUGGAUAAUUUGAAGAGCAUGAAUAGAGGAAUUGUUUACAGAGUUGUCACAGGAUACAGGAAUCAAAAAGACAGUGAUGUUUCCACAGGCUGGCAAAAUCUGGAAGCCCACCCUAGUGAGAAGAGAGAAGCCAGGACCCCUGGUGAGGGGAUCAUGCUGAGCCCCUACACAGCUGCAGGCGGAGGACUGGUCAUGAAGGAAAGGUGGACCUUGUGAUUAGAGGUUUGGGGCUUGGAGCCAGGUGAUAUCAGCCUGACCCCCAGGAAGGGCGAGGGCUGGAGCUGGAGUUUGAUCACCUGGCAAUGACUCCCAUCAAUCACACCCAUGGAAUGAAGCCCCAGUAAGAACUCUGGCCACCGAGGCUCAAGGA
rnacentral:lncRNA from 1 species